AGCGGAGGAAAAGAAACCAACAGGGAUUGCCUCAGUAGCGGCGAGUGAAGCGGCAAGAGCUCAGAUUUGAAAUCUCACCUAGUGUGCGAGUUGUAAAUUGCAGGUUGGAGUCUCGGGUUAGACGUGUGUGCAAGUCCCUUGGAACAGGGUGCCACUGAGGGUGAGAGCCCCGUAGCGUGCAUGUCGAUACCUGUGAGGCCCUUCUGACGAGUCGAGUUGUURGGGAAUGCAGCUCUAAGUGGGUGGUAAAUUCCAUCUAAGGCUAAAUAUUGGCGAGAGACCGAUAGCGAACAAGUACUGUGAAGGAAAGAUGAAAAGCACUUUGAAAAGAGAGUGAAACAGCACGUGAAAUUGUUGAAAGGGAAGGGUAUUGGGCUCGACAUGGGAUUUACGCAUCGUUGCCUCUCGUGGGCGGCGCUCUGGGUUUUUCCUGGGCCAGCAUCGGUUUUCGUUGCAGGAUAAGGACAAUUGGAAUGUGGCUCCUCGGAGUGUUAUAGCCUUUUGUAGAUGCUGCGUAUGGGGACCGAGGGCUGCGGCGGACUCGUU
rnacentral:rRNA from 1 species